rnacentral:misc_RNA from 1 species
AGCAGCCGCGGUAAUUCCAGCUCCAAUAGCGUAUAUUAAAGUUGUUGCAGUUAAAAGCUCGUAGUUGAAUUUCGAGAUCAAAUUGUUGGUCGUGCCUUGGUACGCACUGGCAUUAUUGGUUUCUCCCUUCUGACGAACCAUGAUGUCAUUAAUUUGGUGUCUUGGGGAAUCAGGACUGUUACUUUGAAAAAUUGAGUGUUUAAAGCAGGCUCACGCUUGAAUACAUUAGCAUGGAAUAAUGAAAUAGGACGUUUGAUUCUAUUUUGUUGGUUUCUAGGAUCGACGUAAUGAUUAAUAGGGAUAGUUGGGGGCAUUAGUAUUCAAUUGUCAGAGGUGAAAUUCUUGGAUUUUAUUGAAGACUAACUACUGCGAAAGCAUUUGCCAAGGAUGUUUUCAUUAAUCAAGAACGAAAGUUAGGGGAUCGAAGACGAUCAGAUACCGUCGUAGUCUUAACCAUAAACUAUGCCGACUAGGGAUCGGAUGAUGUUAAUUUUUAAUGUACUCAUUCC